rnacentral:misc_RNA from 1 species
AACUGAUACUACCUGCGGGAACCUGCGGAAGGAUCAUUAAUGAGAAGCUGCCCCUCGUGGGUAGACCUCCCACCCUCUGUGAACUUACCUUUGUUGCUUUGGCAGGCCCGUCCUCUGGACCGCCGGCUUCGGCUGGCCCGUGCCUGCCAGAGGAUUCCAAACCCUGUCUGUCAGUGUUGUCUGAGUCUAUAUGAAAUCGUUAAAACUUUUAACAACGGAUCUCUAGAUCGGAAGAGCACA